AACGGUAAGGUCAAACUUCAACAGCAUCACCUGCUGAGUCCCUCACUGGGCUCUCUUUCUGGAUGUGUGUUGCCAGGAGAACAAUUCUGCUUUCAACAAUAAAAACAACAAUCAAUGCUUGCACAAAAGACUUAAGGACAAUGGGAAAUGUGGCAAAUGAAUAUAAAAGAAUUAAUCCCAAGAUUGGAUGACUCCAGAGAAUAAGUCAUCAACUAUCCUGCCCUCUGCGGCCAUCUGCACUGAACCAUGAGAAGAAAAGGCAGUACUUGACACUUCAGAGAUCCCUCCUAGAAUCCGUGGCAACAUGAACUUACCCCAGCCUGCUAUGAGCCGGUCAGAUAAGGCAGGUAAAGUCAAAGGUGACCUAGAGCCUGGAUAUUGUCCCUGAGACCCUGAGCCUCUGACACACUGCAUUCAGGCAGCAUGACUCACUCCAUUCCUAACAAGGACAUCGCCAAACAGCCAACAUAAAUAUACAAUGACUUACCUCCAAUAGUUUCUUGUUCUUUGGUAAUGGAAACACAAAAGCUUUGUUACUGAGUUUAAAUUUACCCAUAGUUAACAAGUGUCAAUCAACCACAUCUUUGACAUAUCAAUUCAGAAAUUAUCAGAAACCUUAAGCAUGUUUAUGUUUCUGGGAAACCAUCUUAAUAAACUAAUUUAAAAUGUAAGUAAAGCAUUCCUUGUGGCUAUGGUCUGAAUGUCCCCUAAAAUUCAUAUGUUGAAAAGUAAUAAUCAAUGUGAUACUAUUAAGAGGUGGAGGCUUUAGGA
rnacentral:lncRNA from 1 species